rnacentral:lncRNA from 1 species
GUGGUAUGGGUGAUCCUUUGACCUGCGGUAUCGUCGGCUAUUUACGGUGAGGCUAUCGAGUUUAACUAUAUAUUCUCUUAAUCCUUAGCCAUUUGGAUCUUUAUUGUGUAUGUUGGCUACAGUAGGUUCAGGUUCAUUGUUCGAGUAGGAUGCACCUAGAUAAAAUCUAUCGAUCUUGAUAGAAAAAGAGUAGUCCUAUGUGAUUAGCAAGAUUGAGUUCAGAAAAUUUUCGAUCGAAACAAGUGUGAAUACUAAAAAAAAAAUUUAUGAAAUUUAUAAAUAAACUCGAGUUAAGCCAAUCUGGCAUAUGAUAGAUGAUAGAAUUUGACGAGUUCUUCAUAACCUCCAUCUAGUUGAGACUGACGAUAGAAUGACUGAAUCACACGAUAAGUGCACCUAGAAGUUCAAAAUUUUUUAUUCUAUUGGGUUUCUACUAUAUACUGCUAGGCAUCACUGAUGGAUUAUAAAAAUUCACUAGGAUUAUUUUUGGAUCAACGAUCCUUGUUGGAUUGAGCUG